GGCCUGGUAGCCAAGUGGAAAGGCAGCGGUCUGCAAAACCGUUAUGCGCCGGUUCAAAUCCGGCCCAGGCCUCGA
rnacentral:tRNA from 1 species